rnacentral:sRNA from 1 species
CGAAUGGACUGACGCAGACCCCUCCCCACUCCUCGCCAGGGGCAGCUUGGUGGCUGCCGAGUGGAGGCCGGAAGAGGGCUUCGUGGAGUUGAAGUCUCCCGCGGGCAAAUUCUGGCAGACCAUGGGCUUCUCGGAGCAGGGCCGGCAGCGGCUUCACCCGGAAGAGGCCUUGUAUCUUCUGGAGUGUGGCUCCAUCCACCUCUUCCACCAAGACCUGCCACUGUCUAUCCAGGAAGCUUACCAGCUGCUGCUGACCGACCACACUGUGAGCUUCCUGCAGUA